AUUGAACGCUGGCGGCAGGCCUAACACAUGCAAGUCGAACGAGUGGCGGACGGGUGAGUAAUGUCUGGGAAACUGCCUGAUGGAGGGGGAUAACUACUGGAAACGGUAGCUAAUACCGCAUCGCAUCAGAUGUGCCCAGAUGGGAUUAGCUUGUUGGUGGGGUAACGGCUCACCAAGCCGACGAUCCCUAGCUGGUAUGCGAGGAUGACCGGCCACACUGGAAUGAGGACACGGUCCAGACUCCGACGGGAGCCAGCAGUGGGGAAUGUUGCACAAAGGGCUCAAGCCUGCUGCAGCCAUACCGCGUGUAUGAAGAGGGCCUUGGGGUUGGAAAGUACUUUCAGCGGGGAGGCGUUACCCGCAGAGGAGGGCCCGGCUAACACCGUGCCAGCAGCCGCGGUAAUAC
rnacentral:rRNA from 1 species